UACGUAGGGUGCAAGCGUUAAUCGGAAUUACUGGGCGUAAAGCGUGCGCAGGCGGUUCGCUAAGACAGAUGUGAAAUCCCCGGGCUUAACCCUGGGAACUGCAUUUGUGACUGGCGGGCUAGAGUAUGGCAGAGGGGGGUAGAAUUCCACGUGUAGCAGUGAAAUGCGUAGAGAUGUGGAGGAACACCGAUGGCGAAGGCAGCCCCCUGGGUCAAGAUUGACGCUCAUCCGCGAAAGCGUGGGGAGCAAACAGG
rnacentral:rRNA from 1 species